UAAGGAAUAUUGGACAAUGGUCGCAAGACUGAUCCAGCCAUGCCGCGUGCAGGAUGACUGCCCUAUGGGUUGUAAACUGCUUUUGUACGGGAAUAAACCCUUCUACGUGUAGAAGGCUGAAUGUACCGUAAGAAUAAGGAUCGGCUAACUUCGUGCCAGCAGCCGCGGUAAGACGAAGGAUCCAAGCGUUAUCCGGAUUUAUUGGGUUUAAAGGGUGCGUAGGCGGACUGAUAAGUCAGUGGUGAAAGCCUGUUGCUUAACAACAGAACUGCCAUUGAUACUGUCAAUCUUGAAUAUGUUUGAUGUGGGCGGAAUAUGACAUGUAGCGGUGAAAUGCUUAGAUAUGUCAUAGAACACCGAUUGCGAAGGCAGCUCACAAAGCCAUUAUUGACGCUGAGGCACGAAAGCGUGGGGAUCAAACAGG
rnacentral:rRNA from 1 species